CGACGAUGCGUAGGGGUUCUGAGAGGAAGGCCCCCCACACUGGUACUGAGACACGGACCAGACUCCUACGGGAGGCAGCAGUGAGGAAUAUUGGUCAAUGGGCGCGAGCCUGAACCAGCCAAGUCGCGUGAGGGAGGACGGCCCUACGGGUUGUAAACCUCUUUUGCCGGGGAGCAACGGGCGUCACGUGUGGCGCCACUGAGAGUACCCGGAGAAAAAGCAUCGGCUAACUCCGUGCCAGCAGCCGCGGUAAUACGGAGGAUGCGAGCGUUAUCCGGAUUUAUUGGGUUUAAAGGGUGCGUAGGCGGAUCGUUAAGUCAGUGGUCAAAUUGAGGGGCUCAACCCCUUCCCGCCAUUGAAACUGGCGAUCUUGAGUGGAAGAGAAGUAUGCGGAAUGCGUGGUGUAGCGGUGAAAUGCAUAGAUAUCACGCAGAACCCCGAUUGCGAAGGCAGCAUGCCGGCUUCCGACUGACGCUGAAGCACGAAAGCGUGGGGAUCGAACAGGAUUAGAUACCCUGGUAGUCCACGCGGUAAACGAUGAGCGCUAGGUGUCCGGGGGGAAUGGCCCCUGG
rnacentral:rRNA from 1 species